UACAGAGGGUGCGAGCGUUAAUCGGAAUUACUGGGCGUAAAGCGUGCGCAGGCGGUUUUGUAAGCCAGAUGUGAAAUCCCCGGGCUUAACCUGGGAAUGGCAUUUGGGACUGCAAGGCUGGAGUUUGGCAGAGGAGACUGGAAUUCCUGGUGUAGCAGUGAAAUGCGUAGAUAUCAGGAGGAACACCGAUGGCGAAGGCAGGUCACUGGGCCGCAACUGACGCUGAGGAGCGAAAGCAUGGGGAGCGAACAGG
rnacentral:rRNA from 1 species